GUUCCUUUGGACACAUGCCGUUACUGGAGGUCACCACGGGAUGAUGGGUGAUACGUGGACGGUUUCGAGUGUCUCAGAGCUUGACGUGCUCGAAUGAGUCCGACCCGUUGCCCUUCGAGGUACCGCGGAACAGUGCCUGCGCCUGCAGCCUCCGUUCCUGUCCUGGGACCAAUUCGACCCGGUGUUCCGAGCGGAAUUCCUCUUGGCAGGCUACGACUACUGCAUCCAACGCGAGCUGGACGCCCAAACAGAACACCCAGAUAAGGGUCUGCAAAAAUAUGUUCGGGCCAUGCAGGAACUCAUUCGAUCUGCCGAUCCCAGCACGCUCUUUUUGGAGCAACACUACGCUCCGCCACCACCUGCGACAAUGCCCUCGAGCCAGCCUGUGCCUGGAGGGAGACAAACACUGGGGCGGUAACCUGGAACAAAGCAGUGGUUCGUCCAUUUCGUGGAAUAGUUUCGCCUCGGUCACUUAACGACCCCAUUCCACCAACUAUACAGUACACGGGUCAUGCAUCAAUUUAACUUUGGCCAAAACCAUUUCUCAAAUAGUAACGGAAAACAUAUGUGUCAGCGACCACAAAGCAGUUAUAGCAGCAAUUUCUAAGUAAUAAAUAAAAUUAAGCUUUUGUAAACUGCA